UACGUACUGUGCGAACGUUAUUCGGAAUCACUGGGCUUAAAGGGUGUGUAGGCGGCCAGCUAAGUAGGGUGUGAAAGGCCUCGGCCUAACCGAGGCACUGCGCUCUAAACUGACUGGCUUGAGUGAGAUAGGGGUGUGCGGAACUUCCAGUGGAGCGGUGAAAUGUGUUGAUAUUGGAAGGAACGCCGGUGGCGAAAGCGGCACACUGGGUCUCGUCUGACGCUGAGACACGAAAGCCAGGGGAGCGAACGGG
rnacentral:rRNA from 1 species